UACGUAGGGGGCUAGCGUUGUCCGGAAUUAUUGGGCGUAAAGAGCGUGUAGGCGGUCCGGUAAGUCGGCUGUGAAAGUCCUGGGCUCAACCCUGGGAUGCCGGUCGAUACUGCCGGACUAGAGUUCGGAAGAGGCGAGUGGAAUUCCCGGUGUAGCGGUGAAAUGCGCAGAUAUCGGGAGGAACACCUAUGGCGAAGGCAGCUCGCUGGGACGUUACUGACGCUGAGACGCGAAAGCGUGGGUAGCAAACAGG
rnacentral:rRNA from 1 species